ensembl:lncRNA
CAGGCACUCAGUCAGAGGUUGGCUCUCCGUUUCGCUGCAGGGUCCCUUCAUUCUUCACAUAUCCGUGUCGAGCCGAGUGUAAAUCCCGACGCUGAACGGCCUUUGUACAAGCACACACGCUUCGUAGCAGGGAGAAGCUAUGAGCUAGAAAAAUCCAGCCUGGCAGACAGCCUGUGUCUGACCAACCAAUCAGAGAGCUCCUUACAUCCCACGGUGUGGCUAAUUUGAAUAGCCUCCAGCAAGUUGUUAAUCGAAGAGCUAAUCCAGCAGCUAAUCCAGGAGCUAAUCCAGCAGCUAAUCCCGGAGCGAACAGGAAAGGGAAAUGGAUUUUGAACUGCAGUUUAUUAAAUUGCAAGUGGAAAAAGGAUUUUGAACUGCAGUUUAUUAAAUUGCAGGUGGAAAAGGAUUUUGAACUGCAGUUUAUUAAAUUGCAGGUGGAAAAAGGAUUUUGAACUGCAGUUUAUUAAAUUGCAAGUGGAAAAAGGAUUUUGAACUGCAGUUUAUUAAAGUGCAACUGAAAAAAGGAUUUUAAAAUGCAGUUUAUUAAAGUGCAAUUGGAAAAAGGAUUUUGAAAUGCAAUUGGAAAAAGGAUUUUGAAAUGCAGUUUAUUAAAUUGGAAUUCAAAAAUGAAUUUACAAUUGCAGAAUUUAUUCUACAAUUCAUUAUUAAAGCACAGAGAUUUUUAUUUCAAUGCGCGUGGCUCUUGUGGUCCUCC